rfam:Limnothrix rosea IAM M-220 NIES-208_Scaffold_8, whole genome shotgun sequence.
GCUAACGUAGCUCAGCUGGUAGAGCAACGCAUUCGUAAUGCGUAGGUCGUGGGUUCAAGUCCCAUCGUUAGCU